rnacentral:rRNA from 1 species
UAGUCAUACGCUUGUCUCAAAGAUUAAGCCAUGCAGGUCUAAGUCCAUGCCGCAUUAAGGUGAGACCGCGAAUGGCUCAUUAUAUCAGUUAUGGUUCCUUAGAUCUUCGGUUACACUUGGAUAACCCUGCCAAUUGUAGAGCUAAUACAUGCAUCCCAACGCCAACCUCUCGGAAGGCGUGUUUUUAUUAGCCCAAAACCAAUCGUUACCUUCGGGUGACGUCCCUGUGGUGAUUCAGAGUAACUUUGUUCGGAUCGCAUGGCCUUUGUGCCGGCGACGCAUCUUUCAAAUGUCUGCCUUAUCAACUUGUUGGUUGGUUAAAUGCCAACCAAGGUGGUAACGGGUGACGGGGAAUCAGGGUUCGAUACCGGAGAGGGAGCCUGAGAAACGGCUACCACAUCCAAGGAAGGCAGCAGGCACGCAAAUUACCCACUCCCAGAUCGGGGAGGUAGUGACGAAAAAUAACAAUACGAGACUCAUCCGAGGCUUCGUAAUUGGAAUGGGUACACUUUAAAUCCUUUAACGAGGAUCUAUUG